rnacentral:lncRNA from 1 species
GUUCGUACGAAGUUCGUUAUGAAAUGGGGUGGUUGGUGUAUUGUAUAGUUCUAGGGAUUGUAUUUCCCUCAAAACCCACCAAAUGACUCCUCCCACAAUAUUAUGAUGUUCCCCAAGUUUUGGACUCAAUCCGAUAUCGAUUGGUCCUUGAAAUCGGACAAUUCAGGUUCGUACGAAGUUCGUUCUGAAAUGGGGUGGUUGGUGUAUUGAAUAGUUCUAGAGAUUGGAUUUCACUCAAAACCAACCACAUGACUCCUGCCACAAUAUUAUGAUGUUCACCAAGUUUUGGUCUCAAUCCGAUAUCGAUUGGUGCUUGAAAUCGGACAAUUCAGGUUCGUAUGAAGUUCGUUCGUAAAUACGGUGGUUGGUGUGUUGCAUAGUUCUAGAGAUAGGAUUUCACUCAAAACCCACCAAAUGUCUCCUCCCACAAUAUUAUUACGUUCUCCAAGUUUUGGACUCAAUCCGAUAUCGAUUCGUCCUUGAAAUCGAACAAUUCAGGUUCCUACGAAGUUCGUUCUGAAAUGGGGUGGUUGGUGUAUUGUAUAGUUCUAGGGAUUGUAUUUCACUCAAAACAUACCAAAUGACUCCUCCCACAAUAUUAUGAUGUUCCCCAAGUUUUGGACUCAAUCCUUUCUCGAUUUGUCAAUGAAAUCGGACAAUUCAGGUUCGUACGAAGUUCGUUCUGAAAUGGGGUGGUUGGUUUAUUGUAUCGUUCUAUAGAUUGGAUUUCACUCAAAACCCACCAAAUGACUCCUCCCAAAAUAUUAUGAUGUUCCCCAAGUUUUGGACUCAAUCCGAUAUCGAUUGGUCCUUGAAAUCGGACAAUUCAGGUUCGUACGAAGUUCGUUCUGAAAUGGGGUGGUUUGUGUAUUGUAUAGUUCUAGAGAUUGGAUUUCACUCAAAACCCACAAAAUGACUCCUCCCACAAUAUUAUGAUGUUCCCCUAGUUUUGGACAAAAUCCGAUAUCGAUUGGUCCUUGAAAUCGGAUAAUUCAGGUUCGUACGAAGUUCGUUCGUAAAUAGGGUGGUUGGUGUGUUGCAUAGUUCUAGAGAUAGGAUUUCACUCAAAACCCACCAAAUGACUCCUCCCACAAUAUUAUGAUGUUCCCCAAGUUUUGGACUCAAUCCGAUAUCGAUUGGUGCUCGAAAUCGGACAGUUCAAGUUCGUAUGAAGUUCGUUCUGAAAUGGGGCGGUUGGUGUAUUGUAUUCUAGAGAUUGGAUUUCCCUCAAAACCCACCAAAUGACUCCUCCCACAAUAUUAUUAUGUUCCCCAAGUUUUGGACUCAAUCCGAUAUCGAUUGGUCCUUGAAAUCGGACAAUUCAGGUUCGUACGAAGUUCCUUCUGAAAUGGGGUGGUUGGUGUAUUGAAUAGUUCUAGAGAUUGGAUUUCACUAAAAACCCACCAAAUGACUCCUCCC